rnacentral:lncRNA from 1 species
CAGUAAUACUUAAUGAGAGAACGAUUUGUAAGUGGUGUAAGUAACUUCUAGUUAUAACUGAUACGCUGAUAAGGUUGGAAUCAGAAGUAGUGAUUGUUACUGAAGAUGCCAAGAUGAUAUGUAUGGUAAAAAGGUAAUUAAGUAAAUCUUAUUUUUGUUUGGAAGUCUUAAGGAGUCAUAAGCAAUCUACUGCUCAUACUCCUCAAAACAAACAAAACCUAACUGUAGGGGAACUGGUAUGUCACUGCCUGAUGAUUGAGCACCUGGUGAAGGGAGUGGCUGGCCCAGGAGCAAACAAUUUACCUGUGCUUCCCACAUGAUUGGAAGGGGUGGACCCAGGGUCCCUGGCCUCAUUUAAAGGCUAUAGCCUCUGAAGGGGUAGUAUUUUGUGGAUGAAGGCUGCUUCUUGUGAAGGAGCAUUCUACUGUCAGAGACUCUCAUCACCAGCUGGGUGAGUCAACUUUCUCUUGUUUAUAAUUAUUGAUAUUCCUAAUUAUACUUCCCAUGGUAUCACAGAGAACUUGUCAGAAGCAGUUUCACUACUUCCUCUGACCAACACAAACCAAAAAUGUAAAAACAUCAAACAAAAAGACCCUUAUAAGGCCCUUAUUCUAAAGUAGCCCCUGAGGGUUAUAAGUUUGAAGAAGCAAAUGGUUUGGAUGUGAAUGCAACUGCCAGUAUCUUAUGAAAGCCUUCUGAAAAUGGUGUGUUGUUCUGCUAGAAUGUAUUCAUUGGAAGAGAAUACUUAUUGAAGAACAAGUGGAGAAAUUUUCACUAAUUCUGCUUUGGUCUAGAUCCAUGUUCCACUGGGAAGAGCAGGUGUUGGUAACUACAUAUGUUUUCAAGAAAUAUAUGCAAGAGCCAAGGAACAGCAAAGCAGAACUGUGGUGUUAAAGGUUUGCCAGUUCCCUCAUAGUCAUCUUUGUAAGAUAAGGAUUUCCAAGGCUGGUUCUUAGCACGUCUCUUGUCCUAAUUCAGCUUUAUCUGAAUACGGUUUUAACAGAAGGCCUCUUAUUCAACCCUAGUGAUAUUUCGCAAAGUAAAUUUGCUGUCAGGGCUGGAAUAUAAAGAAGAAAUCAGAAGUAAAAUCAACUUUACCCAAAAUAUAAAUACAGCUGGACUAAUCACUUCAGUGAUUCUAAGAUUGUAAGUAACAGAUGCAGAGCUUAAUUACAUAAAAUACUAGUCUAACAAGAUGAAAAACAGAUAAUGAAGCCCUUUCUAACUCAGCUGUAGAAGUCUUGUUCAGACUUCUACCAUGAAUUUCUUCCUUUGAUCUGGAAAUGAAAUGUUUCCUCCAAUUAAACACCCUAUUGUUUAAAAAUCC